UGGGAGGACCAUCUCCUAAGGCUAAAUACUCUCUAGUGACCGAUAGUGAACCAGUACCGUGAGGGAAAGGUGAAAAGCACCCCGGAAGGGGAGUGAAAUAGAACCUGAAACCGUGUGCUUACAAGUAGUCAGAGCCCGUUAAUGGGUGAUGGCGUGCCUUUUGUAGAAUGAACCGGCGAGUUACGAUUUGAUGCAAGGUUAAGCAGUAAAUGUGGAGCCGUAGCGAAAGCGAGUCUGAAUAGGGCGUUUAGUAUUUGGUCGUAGACCCGAAACCAGGUGAUCUACCCUUGGUCAGGUUGAAGUUCAGGUAACACUGAAUGGAGGACCGAACCGACUUACGUUGAAAAGUGAGCGGAUGAACUGAGGGUAGCGGAGAAAUUCCAAUCGAACCUGGAGAUAGCUGGUUCUCUCCGAAAUAGCUUUAGGGCUAGCCUCAAGUGAUGAUUAUUGGAGGUAGAGCACUGUUUGGACGAGGGGCCCCUCUCGGGUUACCGAAUUCAGACAAACUCCGAAUGCCAAUUAAUUUAACUUGGGAGUCAGAACAUGGGUGAUAAGGUCCGUGUUCGAAAGGGAAACAGCCCAGACCACCAGCUAAGGUCCCAAAAUAUAUGUUAAGUGGAAAAGGAUGUGGCGUUGCCCAGACAACUAGGAUGUUGGCUUAGAAGCAGCCAUCAUUUAAAGAGUGCGUAAUAGCUCACUAGUCGAGUGACACUGCGCCGAAAAUGUACCGGGGCUAAACAUAUUACCGAAGCUGUGGAUUGUCCUUUGGACAAUGGUAGGAGAGCGUUCUAAGGGCGUUGAAGCAUGAUCGUAAGGACAUGUGGAGCGCUUAGAAGUGAGAAUGCCGGUGUGAGUAGCGAAAGACGGGUGAGAAUCCCGUCCACCGAUUGACUAAGGUUUCCAGAGGAAGGCUCGUCCGCUCUGGGUUAGUCGGGUCCUAAGCUGAGGCCGACAGGCGUAGGCGAUGGAUAACAGGUUGAUAUUCCUGUACCACCUAUAAUCGUUUUA
rnacentral:rRNA from 1 species